rnacentral:rRNA from 1 species
UACGUAGGGGGCAAGCGUUGCCCGGAUUCAUUGGGCGUAAAGAGCGUGUAGGCGGCCAGGUAGGUCGGUUGUGAAAACUGGAGGCUCAACCUUCAGAGGUCGACCGAAACCAUCUGGCUAGAGUCCGAGAGAGGAGAGUGGAAUUCCUGGUGUAGCGGUGAAAUGCGCAGAUAUCAGGAAGAACACCCGUGGCGAAAGCGGCUCUCUGGAACGGUACUGACGCUGAGACGCGAAAGCGUGGGGAGCGAACAGG